GACAGAGGAUGCAAGCGUUAUCCGGAAUGAUUGGGCGUAAAGCGUCUGUAGGUGGCUUUUUAAGUCCGCCGUCAAAUCCCAGGGCUCAACCCUGGACAGGCGGUGGAAACUACCAAGCUGGAGUACGGUAGGGGCAGAGGGAAUUUCCGGUGGAGCGGUGAAAUGCGUAGAGAUGUGGAGGAAUACCGAUGGCGAAGGCAGCCUCCUGGGCCAACACGUGACGCUCAUGCACGAAAGCGUGGGGAGCAAACAGG
rnacentral:rRNA from 1 species